rnacentral:rRNA from 1 species
AGCGCAGGCGGAGAAGCAAGUCAGUGGUGAAAACGAUGGGCUUAACUCAUCGACUGCCAUUGAAACUGUUUCCCUUGAGUGAAGUAGAGGCAGGCGGAAUUCCGAGUGUAGCGGUGAAAUGCGUAGAUAUUCGGAGGAACACCAGUGGCGAAGGCGGCCUGCUGGGCUUUAACUGACGCUGAGGCUGAAAGUGUGGGGGAGCAAACA